CGGAGACACAGGCUCGCACUGCCACACAGUAACUGUUGGGACUACGCACUCUGGUUGUAUGGCCGGGCCCCGAUCAAGUGCGGCCCGGUAAUCGAACAUAGGUUGGUGGUUGGUGAUGUGGUAGUAAGGCUCAUUGUUCUCCCGAGCUCGCCCUUGGCAGCAGCUUUUUUCAAGGAUCUCAACACUUCUUCUGGAUCGCGGGCUGACCUUGCCACGGAACUGCGUCGGCGAUCACGGUUGUAAUAAACACUUGGCAUUUCUGUAUCCACUAUGCUGCCGCCUGAAUUCAUUCAAAACUCAGAAAAAGAAAAAAAAAAUUUUUAUUUUUAAUGAGUCAUGCGGAUGAGCUGGUUAAAUUUACAUGAAGGUUUUGCACAGAAUACGAAGGAGGACUGGCUGAGCAUGAGACUGCAUUUUUACAAAAGUAAAAAAAAUAGAAGGUAACGAAAAAUAAAGUUUAAACUCAAAAGAAAAUUCAAAAAAGUUAACAUGAAAGAGGAUGCAUUUGACAUGCAAAGCGCACGUGAAAGUUAAGCUAAAAAUUAUUUGUCACUUUUAAACGUGACCGGACCAGGUGAAACGAUAAGGCAGAGAGAUGGAGAAAAAAAAGAGUGGGCUCUAAAAAACGUAUGACUUACAUACUUUAUACACCGUGUGUUACUUUGAAACAUAUUUUUUUUUACUCCGUUCAAAAUCGUGUACUACAUACUGAAAAAAAAGUUACGAGCCUUUGAGUUGAAUUUUGAAAAGUCGCUUAGAGUUUUUGAGUAUUGCCAGUAAAGAGACAAAAUUAAUUUAUGUGAUUAUUUUUACCAUCUAAAAAUAUCAAUCAUAUAUAUUAUACUUUUGCAGAAUAUAUAAUUAUGAAGUUUCAAAAAGUAUAAAAUUUUUUUUUAUUUUAUAAAAAUGCCUGAAAUUUUUGAAAUUUUGAAUUUAUUUAUUUUUUUACUAAGACAUUUUUUGUAGUUCAUUAAAUUUUUCAAAAAUUUAUCUUUGAACUUUUUUAUGUAGGAUCAAAAUUUCGAUUUUUAAACUGAAAAUAUUUAAAAAAUUUCAAGGGCUGUAGAGUUGAAAAAAAAAUGUAUGCUGAAUAAUUUUGAACAGAGUUUGAAAAAAAUAUCCUACAUGAGAGUCAUAUUUAUGGUAUUUAUAAAAAAUUAAUUAUAAUUAUUUUUAGUAAAAUUUAUCCCUUUUCACCCCCAAGAGCCCAUUCUUUUUUUUCUUCGCCACAUUGAACUCCUCCCUCCAUAUGUUUCACGUCCAUUUUCAUUUUCUGGCUCUCCAGGGUGUGUUGAGACACCAUAAAUCGUGGUACGCCUUCUCGUUUACCCGGGAUUUCCAGUAGUAUAGAGAGCAACGAGUAGUAUAGAGCGGCAGCGAGCUCACGAGCAAAUUUCGCAUUCUUGAUGGUAUCACUACUUGUAAGGGCCAAGCAACAUCACCGAAUAAGGUUAUACUGUUAUAGUACAGUUGGGAGAUAUAUCCGAAGAGAAUAUAUAUAUAUAUACAGCUAAAUUUAUUUAUACGUAUAAAUAUAUAUAUAAAUUUUUUAUAUACAUGUAGGCGAAUAGAAGAAAUACAAAUAGAUCAAGAAUCGCGAGAUACAUCCCGGGUAAAAACAUUUCAAGCUAAAAUAAAAUUCUUUUCUCGGCUGAAAAAAGGUCCAGGUAGUGAACAUAAUGCUGAAAAAUGGUCGAUAAUUAGGCCUAAAAACAAUCGCUAAUAGGCUGACUCAAUUCAUCGGUCAAUUUUCGAUCUCUUCUGAUAAAAUUCUAUGGUUUCGGCCAAAUGUUUUUACCCGGGAUGUCCUGAUUCAAUUUAAAACAAACUGAUAUUCAAUUUUACACCUCAGUCUUCAU